rnacentral:rRNA from 1 species
AUUGAACGCUGGCGGCAUGCCUUACACAUGCAAGUCGAACGGCAGCGGACCUUCGGGUGCCGGCGAGUGGCGAACGGGUGAGUAAAGUAUCGGAGCGUACCUUUCAGUGGGGGAUAACGUAGCGAAAGUUACGCUAAUACCGCGUAUUCUGUGAGCAGGAAAGCAGGGGAUCGCAAGACCUUGCGCUGAUUGAGCGGCCGAUAUCAGAUUAGCUAGUUGGUGAGGUAAAGGCUCACCAAGGCGACGAUCUGUAGCGGGUCUGAGAGGAUGAUCCGCCACACUGGAACUGAGACACGGUCCGGACUCCUACGGGAGGCAGCAGUGGGGAAUUUUGGACAAUGGGGGCAACCCUGAUCCAGCCAUGCCGCGUGAGUGAAGAAGGCCUUCGGGUUGUAAAGCUCUUUCGGCCGGGAAGAAAUCGCUUAGGCUAAUAUCCUGAGUGGAUGACGGUACCGGAAUAAGAAGCACCGGCUAACUACGUGCCAGCAGCCGCCGUAAAAC